UCUAAUCAUGGAAUACUGUAUUGCAUUUGGUACUGUAAAUUAAGUCUAAUUCUGUACUUUCAUUAACCUCUAGAUCUGGUUCACAUUCAACGGUGCUUCAGGAUUCGCUGUGAGAUUACAAAAUCAAGAUACAAUAUCAUUCCCAAACCGCACAACUAUUGGAGCAAUAACUUAUAUUACCAUCAGUGGUAACAUCGAUGUGACAGGCAUCUGGAUUCAUAACCCAUGAUGGAUGAUACUUCACGCACCAUAUACAAUACAUGAAAUUCAGCAUCAUGUAUUGUGAAAUGAAUACCUGGAGCCAUAGAAACAAUUUCUAGAUGGAAGAUGGCCAGAUGAAAACUGUCUUCUGAAUUAUAAUUAAAGGUUUCCAAGAUGUGC